UACGUAGGGACCAAGCGUUGUUCGGAUUUACUGGGUUUAAAGGGUGCGUAGGUGGGUAGGUAAGUCAGUGGUGAAAUCUUCGAGCUUAACUCGGAAACUGCCAUUGAUACUAUUUAUCUUGAAUACUUUGGAGGUAAGCGGAAUAUGUCAUGUAGCGGUGAAAUGCUUAGAUAUGACAUAGAACACCAAUUGCGAAGGCAGCUUACUACACAGUUAUUGACACUGAGGCACGAAAGCGUGGGGAUCAAACAGG
rnacentral:rRNA from 1 species